UUUUAAAGGGCCGACAGACCAUCGUAAAAAAUCUGCACACCGUAAUGGAAAGCGUGUCUUCAAGAUGAUAAAAGAUGUAAAUGUAGUCUUUGGAAAGGGUCAUGGUAGACAACAUGUUCCGAACAACGAUAACGGACGUGCACCCAUGUGGAAGAAAAAGUCCAUAUUUUGGGAGCUACCUUAUUGGAAAAUCUUAAAGGUUCGCAACGCAAUAGACGUGAUGCACCUGACGGAUAAUCUUUGCGUGAACAUGCUAGGCUUUAUGGGUGUUUAUGGGACCUCGAAAGAUACAAUGGAAACAUCCGAAAAAGAGAGAUAACGGACAGCACUACUUACGUCCUGCCAAUUACAAUCUCAGCAAGAAAGAGAAGGAUAGGAUGUUUGAAUGUUUGAAUAAUAUGAAGGUCCUGUCUAGGUACUCCUCGAAUAUAAAGAGAAUAAUCAAUAUGAAACAAAAGAAGUUUACAAAUCUCAAGGCUCAUGACUGCCACAUGUUGAUGACCUAGUUGCUUCCGGUUGCACUGAUUAUUGCUGGUGAUGGUAGUGGCUCCAACCUUGCCAUAUCAUACACCGAUGAAGAGGGCACCCAGGCAGACAUGUUCCUCAACAUGUCCAAUGAUGGGAAUGAAGAGCCCGAGCCCAAGCAAAACCUUGCCGUGGCGGAAGGUUUCGGCGAGGUAUAUAUAAUUUAUAUUAUUUUACGCUACCGUUAAUGCUAUGUACUAAUUAACGAAUCUUGAACUGUUAGCCCUCUGGAUCAACAAAAGGGUAGAAGACCCGAGGUCGUACAAGGGUGAUGGAAGGGAGGCUUGUCAUCACGGAAGUCACGGAAGAGGGCAUGCCGGUUGCUCCUGAAAAAGUAGCAAAGAAGUACAUAAGUCAGAUCGGGGCAAUCGUAAGGGACAACAUGCCUAUCAGCAUCAGGGAAUAGAAGGGCAAAAGCACUAAUCCAUACGCGCUCCCGGAGACACAAAAGAAUAUGCUGUGGGAAGAUGUCAAGAGACAUUUCACAUUUCCUGAAGGAUAUAUUGAAAAGGAUGUGAAAGCAUUGACGCUGAAGAAGAUGGCUAAACAAUUCUAGACAUUAAGAAGAUGCUGGAUGCCAACUACCUUAAGAAGGGUCGAACUCCAGAUUUCAAUGUGCGGCCAAAGUUGAGGGACCACUGGGAGGCAUUUGUUGAAUAUAAGAGGAGUGAAGACGGUGUGAAAAAGAUCCAGACCAACACUACAAAUUAUGGUCAGAAGGAGUACCAUCAUCAUCUAGGGCGAGGUGGUUAUGGCACAGCAAUUCCCAAAUGGAAGAAGAUGGAACAAGACCUGAUCGAACAGGGUAUGGUACUUGCAACUAUUGAUUGGCCCGAAUGAUCAAAAAAUUGGUAUUACGCUCAUGGAGGCUCCUUGAGCCAAGAGGAUGGGACAUUGAUUUCAAUGAGACAAUAUGUCAGAAGGCCGAAAGGCUUAUAAAGAACAUUGAACAUUCUAAGGCUACGAGGUUGAAGGUGGACUGAGAGAAUGAUGAGCUCACAUUGGCCCUCGGUAAUCCCGAGCACCCAGGACAUUUCCGAGGGUUCGGGGUCAUUCCGUGGAAGUUUGCAUUCCGAAGUGAUAGCGUAUCGUACAGAAGCCGCAAGUGAAGAAAAGAAUAUAUCGAGGAGAGCUAGCGGCAGAUGCUAGAAUCCAAAGUGUAGUCACAAGAAAAAAGAAUGUUGGAGGAAAGCAAUUGUCAAGUGGCCCACGCAGUUGCGGAGUUGGCCCAAUCUGGAGCAUUGUCGAAUCCAAACUACGCCAGCCCUUCUCAAUGCCUCUUGAGCAGUUGUGCUUCUACAGGGCUCCCCGAUGCGCAGACGCCCAGGUUACCCGUGGAGGAGCAACAGUUCACUAUGGAUGCCAUCACGCAAUGCACCUCAUGUGAGCUGCAUGCACCGGUCGGCAACCUCACUAUUAAGGUAUACUUAUACAUAAUAUUUAUGCAAUCUUCUCAAAUGAUCCACGCCUCGGGAUCGGAGUUUAAUAACUUGUUUACUUCGGCUAUAUGUACAGGUGGCGUACGGGAGUGCGUUACCAAUCCUAGCAGGGUAGACAAGCCAUGGAAUGGAGAUUCCACCUGGCUACGCCAGCGUCAGCGUAGAGCAGCUUGUUGAUAGCCAAUAUGAAGGCCUAGAGCUUGACCUUCCAGGAGGCGACGGGGAAAGGACACUGGCAGAUGCGUUUCAUGGGAUCAUUCUAUGGUGCAAACGCUACAUCAUUAUUCCCGACACGGAGCCAUCUCCUCAAAGCUCAAGACCGCUCCCCAUAAAUCCCCAACAACGACCUUCUCGUCAUAGCUCGAGACCAUCAUCUCCUGCACAACCUGCUCCAGGACUGUCGUUUCCUGCUCGAUUAAGGUCUCCAUCUCCACCACAUCCUGGUGGUGGGAGCGACAACAAAAAUAACAACACCCCUCCCCGAUCACCGUCGUCGGGACUAAGAGCAGCCCCGAUGAAGGAACUUGCAGCACCACUAAAGAAGUCACGAGCAUCGCCUCCCAAGCAAAGACAAAGAAAGAAAAAAAACAAAGGAGCCUGAAGUGACGCGUAAGGAACGCUGGGAGGCAAUGAGUCAUGCAAAACAAUGGGCAGAAAAAUCCAAGCAGAGGCUAAUGCGUGGUUCAAGAAACAAGCCGAAGAAAAAAAGCAAGGGAGAUGGAGCCACCGCCAGUAAAUCGAAGAGAUUUUAAUUUUUUUAUCAGAAUGGAAGAAGGAGCCAAGAAAAGGAUACCACUACUAUCAAACUACGAAUGGGCUUUAGUAAAGGCUGAUGAGAGGGACAAAAGGAAAGGAAAGUCAUCUUCCAGUGGUAUUGUUCCCGUCCUCGGGCAUCUAUCAAAAAAAGAUGCUCAAAAGAUAGCACCAAUGCCCUUGGAUCAACAAGCACAACUAUUGAAAUUCAUGGAAGAAACAGGUAUUGGACUUAAUGAAUGUUUAGGGCAAGUUGAGCCACCAACUGCACCGCCAGUUCAAUCGAGAUGGACUUUUGAGCAAGGAAAAUCUGAACGAAUUCCAUCAAUGGUACAUGAAGGUGUCCACCAACUCGAGGGAGAUGUUUGGCCGUAAGGUAAAACCAAUAGAUUUUUACGGCGAAGACGAGAAAGUUCUGUAGCUAGAUUUGAAGGAUAUAUACGAAGUGUACCAUCAUGAUGCCCUGGACGUCUCUCUGAUCAGUGCCUGGGUUCUGUAAGUGUCCGUUUAUCUACAUGUAAAUUUUGGCUCAUAUCAUUAUUUUUUUUGCAUGAGUCACCGUACUAACUUUGUCUUCCAUUUUAUCUAGGAUGCUAAUUCAGACGUGCUGACGAGAGGCGUACCUACAUAUUGGCUUCAUGGAUCCAUCCGUAGUUAUCCAAAAACAGAUACAAUUAUCACCGAAAAAAACCUCGGUGGAAGUAUAUAAUUUUCUAGACAAACAAAAAUUCAAGGAUUUUAUACUACUUCCAUACAACUUCAAGUAAGUGUGUGUAUACCUUCUACUUUCAUUUUCUUUUUCCUUACCUGAUUAAAGUUAGUUAGCUCUAAUAUGCAUGAACAUUUUACGUACGCAGCUUCCACUGGAUCCUCAUUAUAAUUGAGCCUGAAAGAAACCAUGUCACUGUCUUCGAUUCAUUGAGGAAAGAUCCGGUGGAGUACCAAGACAUGCAAGACAUGCUAGGCGUGUAAUAAUUUUGGACCUUUAUCUCUAUGCAAAAGUUUAUUUCCUAAAUUUUAUCCCUGUUACACUAUAUCAUUCAUUAUUCUAAUCCGCAGCGCAUGGAAACAAUUCAUAAGGACACACAAAGGUCCAUUCAAAGAAAAACUUACAUGGAACACAGACUUCUUAGUACGUAUGAAGUCUGCACAUUUAGUAUAUUGUAUAACACGAAUAUUUCAUAUCAUAUUUUUUUCCGCACUGAAGUGCUGAAGAUAGGAACCCGGGAAUAAUCUAUGUGGCUACUACAUCUGUGAGCACAUGCGCAGUUUUAUAGGACCCAAGGGACUAAAGAUGACGCCACACAACUUUAAAGUACGUAAAAUAAAACUAUUACUAGUUAAUUAUUUUCUAGCUCCUUAUAUUUAAUUGUUCGUGUAACAUUCACAUAUUUCCAAAUUAUAGAUGCUAAAUAUUCAACAAGGACUCUUGAAGAAAGAAGUAGCGGCAAUAUGUGAAGGUCUCAUUGGAUUCCUAAUGGACGAGGUGGUAAAUCCACAAGGAGAAUUUUAUUACAAUGGAAGACAUUUAGACACUUCGAGCAACACCUCGACGGGAAGAUUGUAGAUAUAUAGUUUGAUUUGUAUAUAUAAUACGCACUAAGAUCGAUUUGUAUAUAUAGUUGAUUUCAUUAUACUAGUUGACUUGUGUAUAUAUAUAGUAAUUGUAUAAUUACUAAUUUCAUUUGUUUAAAUACUAGUUGAUUUCAUUAAAAAAAGUCUCAACUACUAAAGGUUAACAAAAGGGCUGCGGUACGUACGUGAUGCAUGAAAAUUUCAGGCGCCAUGCAGGAAAAUUUAAGUAGGACUUUAGUCCCGGUUGGGAAACCCAACCGGGACUAAAACCAACUGGGAUUAAAGGGUGACUUUACUCCCGGUUGAAGGUUCCGGGACUAAAGACCCCCCUUUUGUCUCGAUUGGUUUAUCUGGGAUGGAUUUUCGGGAGAUAUGCACGCUAUCAACCGGAACUAAAAGCGAGUUCUCUAUUAAUGUUAGUACUCUCUGCAGGGUCAGGUACAGUACAGUGGGCCUAUAUAUAUAACCUAUCAGCCCAAAAAUACACAACAAUGGCCACAGCAAGCUACCCGGUCCCCUAUAGUGUUUUUUUAGCAUAUUUAGACCUCUCCUUCAACAAUCUCUGUGAUUAAUUGUUCAUAUACCAUUCACAUAUUUCCAAAUUAUAGAUGUUAAAUAUUCAACAAGGCCUCUUGAAGAAAGAAAGAGUAGCGGCAAUAUAUGAAGGUCUCAUUGGAUUCCUAAUGGACGAGGUGGUAGAUCCACAAGGAGAAUUUUAUUACAAUGGACGACAUUUAGACGCUCCGAGCAACACCUCGACGGGAAGAUUGUAGAUAUAUAGUUUGAUUUGUAUAUAUAAUACGCGCUAAGAUCGAUUUGUAUAUAUAGUUGAUUUCAUUAUACUAGUUGAAUUGUGUAUAUGAAUUGUGUAUAUAUAUAGUAAUUGUAUAAUUACUAAUUUCAUUUGUUUAAAUACUACUUGAUUUCAUUAUAAAAAAAGUCUCAACUACUGAAGGUUAACAAAAGGGCCGCGGUGCGUACAUGAUGCAGGAAAAUUUCAGGCGCCAUGCAGGAAAAUUUAAGUAGGACUUUAGUCCCGACUGGGGAACCCUUUAGUCCCGGUUGGGUUUCCCAAUCAGGAGUAAAGGGGCACCCUUUACACCCGGUUGCUUUUACUAACCGGGAGUAAAGGGCCUAUCCCGCGCCUAGCGUGGCAGGCCCUUUAGUCCCGGUUGUUUCACCAACCAGGACUAAAGGGUGACUUUACUCCCGGUUGAAGGACCCGGGACUAAAGAUCCCCCUUUUGUCUCGAUUGGUUUAUCCCGGAUGGAUUUUCGGUAGAUAUGCACCCUACCAACCGGGACUAAAGGCGAGUUAUGUACUAGUGUUAGUACUCUCUCCAGGGUCACGUACAGUACAGUGGGCCUAUAUAAAUAACCUAUCAGCCCAAAAAUACACAACAAUGGUCACUGCAAGCUACCCGGUCCCCUAUAGUGUUUUUUUAGCAUAUUUAGACCUCUCCUUCAACAAUCUCUGUGGUACUAUUCCUAACUUCCUGGCAAAUUUCACCGACUUGACGAACUUAAAUGUUUGCUUCAAACUUAUUGAAGGAAAGUGAAGGACCGGACAGGUGACCAGAGAUGGUGAAUGGGAACCUUUAAAAAUUCUCUCUCUCCAAGAACAAAGCCUAUAUCCCGAUUGCCACCCCAAACACACCUCGCUCCUAAUCGCUAAGAUGACACAAGUCAACUUGAGACAAGUUCACCAAGAAACGAUUAGAAAAGCUAAAAGCGUAGCAGAAGCAAAGACGAUUAAGCUUGGAAGAAACUACACUUAAAAAGCUUGCUUGCCAAAUCACUAAUCAACCAGGCAAGAAAUUAAAAAGCUAGGCUUACUAGUGAUAGCAGCGAAGAGCUAUAUGUCGGCACAAGCAUAUAUGUGCCCAUGCUAGUAAACUAGGCUUACUAGGCUUACUAGUGAUAGCAGCCAAAAGCUAUAUGUCAUGAAGAAUUGCUGUUCCAAGGGGACGCUCCACCCUUCUGCAUGCAUGCCGUGCCCAUGCCGCCAGCUGCUCGCGCUCCUCCUCGCAGCGAUUUGAGCCUAGCUCAGCUGGAAAGAUUGUUUGUGGUGGGACUAAAUUAUUGCAAUAUUUAAUCAAUACUAUCUUUUCAGCAAUAGAUGAUGUGCCCGUCGACAGUUUCGUAAAAAGAAAAUAUGUGAGUGCCUUGGUGUGAAGCGAAAACAUAUCAAAAACAUACCUUGAGAAGAGUAGGGUGAAACGAUGCAACAGCGGAGGUGUAAAUGGAAACUUUGUUCUACCUGUCUCACGUAAUUAGAAUAGUCGAAUGUUAAUGAAAUUGAUUACUGUCUCUAGUUUUGGAGAUGUCAUCUCCUCCUUUCUCCCUCCUCCUGCCCGCCCAUGCCGCCGGAUGCUCGCUCGUCCUCGCGCCACUGCUCGAUCAUCUUUGCAUCGUCCUUGUCCACUGCUCUUAGUCCACGACGACUUCCACGUCCUCGUCCGUCCCCAAGCUUAUAAAUUGAUUGUCCACCGGGCUACUUCAAUAAUUAAUAUUCCGAUGCAUGUUAGGUCUAUUAGUCUAUGUCCACGUCAGUCAUCACUCAUCACCACCCGUUUGAAUGUGGAUAAGGCACCAACUAA
rnacentral:lncRNA from 1 species